AUACGGAGGAUCCGAGCGUUAUCCGGAUUUAUUGGGUUUAAAGGGUGCGCAGGCGGCCAUUUAAGUCAGCGGUUAAAUCGUGGGGCUCAACCCCAUUCUGCCGUUGAUACUGGGUGGCUUGAUUGCGGUCGAGGUUGGCGGAAUUCGUUGUGUAGCGGUGAAAUGCAUAGAUAUGACGAAGAACACCGAUUGCGUAGGCAGCUGACCAGACCGCAAAUGACGCUCAUGCACGAAAGUGCGGGGAUCGAACAGGGUUAGAUACCCUGGUAGUCCGCACAGUAAACGAUGAAUACUUGUUUUCGGCCAUAUAAUGUCGGAGGCAAAGCGAAAGCGAUAAGUAUUCCACCUGGGGAGUACGCCGGCAACGGUGAAACUCAAAUGAAUUGACGGGG
rnacentral:rRNA from 1 species